rnacentral:misc_RNA from 1 species
GAUGAAGAACGCAGCGAAAUGCGAUACUUGGUGUGAAUUGCAGAAUCCCGUGAACCAUCGAGUCUUUGAACGCAAGUUGCGCCCGAAGCCAUCAGGUUGAGGGCACGUCUGCCUGGGCGUCACAUAUCGUUGCCCAAUGCCUAUUGCAGUGCAAUAGGAAUUUCUAGGGCGAAUGAUGGCUUCCCGUGAGCGUUGUUGCCUCGCGGUUGGUUGAAAAUCGAGUCCUUGGUAGGGUGUGCCAUGGUAGAUGGUGGUCGAGUUAGAACGAUACCGAUCAUGUGCAUGCUCCCCAAAAUAUGGCCUCUAUGACCCACACGCGUCUUUUGACGCUCAUGACGAGACCUCAGGUCAGGCGGGGCUACCCGCUGAAUUUAAGCAUAUCACUAAGCGGAGGA